rnacentral:rRNA from 1 species
UAGGGAAUAUUGCACAAUGGAGGAAACUCUGAUGCAGCGACGCCGCGUGAGUGACGAAGGCCUUCGGGUUGUAAAGCUCUGUUCUCGGGGAAAAAGAAAGUGAUUGUACUCGAGAAGAAAGGACCGGCUAACUUCGUGCCAGCAGCCGCGGUAAGACGAGGGGUCCAAGCGUUGUUCGGAAUUAUUGGGCGUAAAGCGGGUGUAGGUGGAUCUAUAAGUCAGGAGUGAAAGCCCCGAGCUUAACUUGGGAAGUGCUUUUGAUACUGUAGAUCUUGAAUGUGGGAGAGGAUCGUGGAAUUCCAGGUGUAGUGGUGAAAUACGUAGAUAUCUGGAGGAACACCGGUGGCGAAGGCGGCGAUCUGGCCCAACAUUGACACUGAGACCCGAAAGCGCGGGGAUCAAACAGG